GUGCCUAACACAUGCAAGUCGAGCGAUCUUCUUCGGAAGGGAGCGGCGGACGGGUGAGUAACGCGUGGGUAACCUGCCCUGUACACACGGAUAACAUACCGAAAGGUAUGCUAAUACGGGAUAACAUAAGAAAGUCGCAUGGCUUUCUUAUCAAAGCUUUUGCGGUACAGGAUGGACCCGCGUCUGAUUAGCUAGUUGGUAAGGUAACGGCUUACCAAGGCGACGAUCAGUAGCCGACCUGAGAGGGUGAUCGGCCACAUUGGAACUGAGACACGGUCCAAACUCCUACGGGAGGCAGCAGUGGGGAAUAUUGCACAAUGGGCGAAAGCCUGAUGCAGCAACGCCGCGUGAGCGAUGAAGGCCUUCGGGUCGUAAAGCUCUGUCCUCAAGGAAGAUAAUGACGGUACUUGAGGAGGAAGCCCCGGCUAACUACGUGCCAGCAGCCGCGGUAAUACGUAGGGGGCUAGCGUUAUCCGGAAUUACUGGGCGUAAAGGGUGCGUAGGCGGUCUUUCAAGUCAGAAGUGAAAGGCUACGGCUCAACCGUAGUAAGCUUUUGAAACUGUAAGACUUGAGUGCAGGAGAGGAGAGUGGAAUUCCUAGUGUAGCGGUGAAAUGCGUAGAUAUUAGGAGGAACACCAGUUGCGAAGGCGGCUCUCUGGACUGUAACUGACGCUGAGGCACGAAAG
rnacentral:rRNA from 1 species